rnacentral:rRNA from 1 species
GCUCAGAUUGAACGCUGGCGGCAUGCCUUACACAUGCAAGUCGAACGGCAGCACGGGAGCAAUCCUGGUGGCGAGUGGCGAACGGGUGAGUAAUAUAUCGGAACGUGCCCAGUCGUGGGGGAUAACGCAGCGAAAGCUGUGCUAAUACCGCAUACGAUCUACGGAUGAAAGCGGGGGAUCGCAAGACCUCGCGCGAUUGGAGCGGCCGAUAUCAGAUUAGGUUGUUGGUGGGGUAAAAGCCCACCAAGCCGACGAUCUGUAGCUGGUCUGAGAGGACGACCAGCCACACUGGAACUGAGACACGGUCCAGACUCCUACGGGAGGCAGCAGUGGGGAAUUUUGGACAAUGGGCGCAAGCCUGAUCCAGCAAUGCCGCGUGCAGGAUGAAGGCCUUCGGGUUGUAAACUGCUUUUGUACGGAACGAAACGGCCUACUCUAAUACAGUGGGCUAAUGACGGUACCGUAAGAAUAAGCACCGGCUAACUACGUGCCAGCAGCCGCGGUAAUACGUAGGGUGCGAGCGUUAAUCGGAAUUACUGGGCGUAAAGCGUGCGCAGGCGGUUAUAUAAGACAGAUGUGAAAUCCCCGGGCUCAACCUGGGACCUGCAUUUGUGACUGUAUAGCUAGAGUGCGGCAGAGGGGGAUGGAAUUCCGCGUGUAGCAGUGAAAUGCGUAGAUAUGCGGAGGAACACCGAUGGCGAAAGCAAUCCCCUGGGCCUGCACUGACGCUCAUGCACGAAAGCGUGGGGAGCAAACAGGAUUAGAUACCCUGGUAGUCCACGCCCUAAACGAUGUCAACUGGUUGUUGGGUCUUCACUGACUCAGUAACGAAGCUAACGCGUGAAGUUGACCGCCUGGGAGUACGGCCGCAAGGUGAAACUCAAAGGAAUUGACGGG